CGGGAGAUUUCAAAGAAAGCUCCUAGCGGGUUACGGGCUCACUAUUACCAAGCCCACCUCACAAUGAUACGAUGUCGGCUAGCAAAAAUAAUAAUGAGAGGGUACAAGUACCCAUUCACAACUACCUCUUGUGAUUACCCAUCUUUUUGGCCUCUAGAGAAAAAUGCCCCACGAUGAUAUGAUGUUGGCACCUUUUCUCUUAGUUAAGUUUUGACCCACCAUGCCGGUUUAGAUAGGGGUUCAAGUAUGACCUCACGAUGAUACGAUGUUGGCCACACUCGUUGCCUACCUUCACCUCAUCAAAUGUUUUAAAUAAACUCCUCCUGAGUAUAAGCAUGCACUUUGCACUCCCCCAUGAUAGGGUGAAGGCGGUGUACAAGUCAUAAACGAUUGGAGCCUACCAUGGUGGAAGGCCACGAAAAAGUGUUCAAAGCACUCUUACGCUUUCAACUUAAUAUUGUAUGUUGGUUGAGGGAUUUUAAGGUCUCAUCAAUUUUUAUUUAUUUAAUCAUAUUCAAAUAAAUUUUCCUAUUAUAACUAUUAGUCCAAAGUUAAUGAAAUUAGUAGCAUAUGAUAUCCCCACUAUUUGUUUUCAUAAAACAAAUCAAUAUCAAAACAUUUUUCAAAAUAUUGGAGAUAUAUAUAACUACUAAUUGUAUUCAUUAUAGUUUAGUAGUGUAUGAUACUCCCACUAUUUGUUUAAGAAAAACAAAUCAAUAUCAAAAAUGAAUUUUUUUUAAAUAUUGGAAGUAACUACUACUACUACGGUUUUUGUAUUCCUUUGAAAUUGGACUUUAUAGUUAUCUUAGGCUCUUGGAUGACCAUGGACUUAUUGGGUUAUUGUAACAACGAGCCAACAUUGUUGAAUAAGAACUCGGGGAGGUUGUGUCAAUUUAAUUACGUGCUUUUCAAUCCAAUUAAAACAUUUUCAUUGAGCCAUUAGAAAUGAAAGACAAUCAUUCAUUGCUAAUUAGGGCGUUGGACCCAUUUAAUCUUUAAUCUCAUGUCAAAACCGUCUUUUAGUUAUGUCUCCUUACCAAUAGUUAAAGAAACUCUAGUCUAGCACUAGAGGGAAUGAACUAACUAAAAGAGAUUAAGAAGUAAUAAGAAUUACAAACCGAUUUGCACAAAUUCCUACAAAUUACACAUACUAAGAGGGAGAGAUAGAUUAAUGUCCAAGGUGACAAGGUCCAAUUGAAACAGUAAUUAAAACACAUUCCAAAGGUUCAAACAAUUUGAGUUUAGCGCCUUAUCUCAUAGCUCAAUUAUCGUUUAAGGCAUAAGUCCAUAGUCAUCCAUUUUUCUAACUACUUAAUCACAUUAAAUAAUCAUAUGGAAUGCAACAUAAACAAUUAGAUUUAGUGCAUAUGGGCAUAAUAAUAUUAUGAGUUUAAACAACCAAUACAAUUAAAAUCAAAUAUUUUAACUUUUUAUAUGGAUGGGGCCUAUUAUGCAAAUAUGAAAAGUUAGGGGUCAAAUCGUAAAUACUUGAAAGUAAAUAUCAACUUUUCAAAGAUUACAAAAUAGCCCCACAAGUGGAUAAAUCCACUAGGGAGGCCAGCCACUUAAUGGGGAUGGGAGGUUUCUUACACAACAUGCAUUAAUUCAACAUUAUGAAGAAAAAUUAAAUUUUGCUUGUCACUUGGUUUUGCUUUAAGGACUUUAAGAAAAGGGUGAUGGAAAUUCACCUAGUCAAGUCUAGGAUUGAAUUAAAUUUUUUGGGAAGGCUAUGGAUGGUAAGUGCAUCAUCCAAAACCUCAAAACAAUGUAUGAACACAAAACAAAACCAUUCUCACCAAAACCAAAACCAUGAACACCAAGAACAAAACCAUGAACACAAUUUCAAGAUUUGUACAUUCUUGAUGAUUUUUCAAACCCAAAAACAAAAGUGACAAGAACUCUUUUUCUAGCUUUAAAAGGAUGUGAGAGUGGUUUACAAUAAAACACAAACACAACCCAAAACCACCCCCAAAACCGUGCCCUCCCAUUUGGAAUAAAAACCCCAAAUUUUAGUUCUAAACUCAAUCUUCAUUCAUGCAUCCAAAACACUUUUGCAUGCAUAUCUUUUCAACUAUUGAUUUACAUUUUUCAACCAUUGAAAAACAAAAGAUAAACAUACUUUGAAUGAAGCAAUAAUAUGUCAUACAUAAAAUUAAAAAACUCAUAUGCAUAAAAUCCAAAAGGACAUAUCUUACAUAAACCUUUGGCUCUGAUACCACUUGAAGGGAAAUUUAUGAGAUUUCAUGUGGGAUUUCUAGUGACUAGCAUGCAUAUACAAUUCAAGAUUUAUAUACGAAAGCAACGGAAGCAUGUUAUCAAAUAAUAUCAAAGCUCUAGUCAUGCAAAUCCCCUUCAAGAUGCAUAGGUUUAUGUAAGAUGCAUCAAAAAACAAAUUUAUAUAUAAGAACAAAGUUUAGGAGUAGUUUUAUACCUCUUGAUCUAGAUCUUAGACCAAG
rnacentral:lncRNA from 1 species